GAGGCUGUGGUUCAAUGGCAGGAUGCCUGCCUCGCAAGCAGAAGGCGCCCGGUUCAAUGCCCAGCAGCAUCC